rnacentral:rRNA from 1 species
CCCUUAGAUGUUCUGGGCCGCACGCGCGCUACACUGUCGGAUUCAGCGAGUCUUAACCUUAACCGAAAGGUUUGGGUAAUCUUUUGAAAGUCCGACGUGAUGGGGAUUGAUCAUUGCAAUUAUUGAUCAUGAACGAGGAAUUCCUAGUAAGCGCGAGUCAUCAGCUCGCGUUGAUUACGUCCCUGCCCUUUGUACACACCGCCCGUCGCUACUACCGAUUGAAUGGUUUAGUGAGAUCUUCGGAUUGGCGCCAUCGUGGCCUCGCGGCCAUGACGGAUGGCCGAAAAGUUGAUCAAACUUGAUCAUUUAGAGGAAGUAAAAGUCGUAACA